GGGAGAGAGAGAGAAAAAGAAAAGGAAGGAAGGAAGAAAGAAAGAGAGAAACUAGAAAACAAAGCAAGUGCUAAUAAACGGGUAUAGGCCAGUUUAUCUUGAUGUGCAUGAAGUCACCUGGCAAUUGGAUGAAAUGCAGAAGAGGCUUGGGAUUCUGCAUCUUUAACAAGCCCCCAAGUGAUGUUGAUAUUGCUAACCCUGAACUGCACUUUGAAUAAAGAGAAUCUUGACCACAGAGUACCAAGGAAAGCAUAAAGUAAGAAUAUAAUGGAUAUAAAGUGGUCUGGGUUCCUAAAACCUGUGGAGAAGAUGAGCUUGAGCCACGUGAUUGUGCAUAUGAUUGGCUGAGGGAAUGAAAAAGCAGAAGAAACAGCAUAAAUAACAAUUGCAUUGGAAGGAAAGGAGCAAAAAAUAAGUUGAGGGGUGAAGAAGAUUUUGUCUGACUUCAAUUAAAAAUAUUUAGGGAAACUAUAAAAAAUGGGAUUGAAGAUUUACUGGUGGGGUAAGACAACCUUAGAGGUUACCCAAUUUAAUUUGGUGUAGUUGAAACUGAGCAGCAGUACAAUCUCAUUAGAUAAUGGCAGAGCUCAGAAUGGAAGCCGAACCUGAGAAAUUUAGAUGACAAAUACCUUACACAUAGAGUCUUUGAUAUAAGAAAAGCCACUUGUCAUUGUUGUGCAAGGUGAAAAUAUGAGGGAAGAACGAAAACAAGCGAAGAGACCCAUAGGAAAUAAUAUUAAUAGUCCAAGCAUGGAGUUUUGGGGAAGGUUUGGUCUAGGGAAGAUGAGAAAAUAUCAGGUGAAGAGGUGAAUCAGAAAAAUUUUGUGUUUGCAUGAAUUGUAAUGGCUGCCACCAGCUGAUUAAAUCAUCCAUUUAUGUAAGAAAAGGAAAAAACUUCCCUCCAUCCCUCCCAUGGUCCAAUGAAGCAUUUUUCAACCCUGACCUCACAUCGGCAUUACUAUUUUUUUUCAGUGGGAAUUCCUGAGCUCCACCCCACAGAAAUUUAAUCAGAAUCUCUGGGAGUGGAGCCCUAGAAUCAGUAUUUUUAAAGCCUCCCUAGGUGAUUAUAAUGGGCAGUCAGUGUUGAGAAUCACUAAUCUAAUAUACAGUCACCAGCUCAUUUUGUAGGCUUCAUUUCUGCCCCUGAACAUUACCCCCAGUGUUAACUGUUAUACUAGCACUAGAUCAUUUUUAAUACUGGGUGUGUUUGGUGGUGGAUUUUGAUGGUUUAUAGCACAUUCUCUAAGCUCAAUGUCUUCCAUCCCUCAUUAACUGUCAUGGUUUAGUUGUGAACAUACCCUGAUAUCUCUCAUUGGCGAGAGAAGGAACAGUGAUUUGGCACGUGACUGGAUGGAAAUGAUAAACCUGGUUUAUGAACCUAUAUGGUACCAUAGUGUGGCAGUGCAGUUAUUUUACUUGAUUUUAGCUUUGCUUUAAUAAUCUACUUUAACAGCCUCUUUAGGUUUAGAACUGAUGAAUGAGCACUUAAAAUAGCGACUUGGACCAUUGGAACUUUUAUUUUGCGUCUUCUCUAAAAAAAUAAUCGUUACUUGCUGGAAAAAAAUCUGAAGGUACUUUUUCAGAUAGGAGGAUGCCAAGAGAAGAAAAGCAUUUUCUCUGUCUUCAAAGAGGAAAAGAUGAGCAUAGUGAAUUUCGGGUGUUGUAUUUAUUCAGCUUGGACGUUUAAAAGAUACUUGGCUUUCCCAUACUAUCUUGACAUGCAUUUUGCUGUUACUUCUACCUGGGAUGCUGGCACUGCCCACCACACACUGUUGAAGACUCAGUUCAG
rnacentral:lncRNA from 1 species